rnacentral:ncRNA from 1 species
GUCCCCCGUUCGGGGAUAGGAUGAAAAGGGAAUCGGGUGCAAGUCCCGGACAGUCCCGCUGCUGUGAGUUUCACGUUACCCGCCAGCGAGGGUCAAUCUUUUAUGAUGACCUUCAGGCCAAGGAAAGGGUAGGGCGCACAUCAAUCUCUUAGCCACUGUCUCUGCAUGAGACGGGAAGGCGAUGGCGCUUACGUGACGAGUCAGAAGACCUGCAAA